rnacentral:rRNA from 1 species
UGGGGAAUUUUGCACAAUGGGGGAAACCCUGAUGCAGCGACGCCGCGUGAUUUAGAAGGCCUUCGGGUUGUAAAAAUCUUUUCUAUGGGAAGAAAAUGACAGUACCAUAGGAAUAAGGACCGGCUAAUUACGUGCCAGCAGCCGCGGUAAUACGUAAGGUCCGAGCGUUGUCCGGAAUCAUUGGGCGUAAAGGGUACGUAGGCGGGUAAGCAAGUUAGAAGUGAAAUCCUAUAGCUCAACUAUAGUAAGCUUUUAAAACUGCUCAUCUUGAGGUAUGGAAGGGAAAGUGGAAUUCCUUGUGUAGCGGUGAAAUGCGCAGAUAUUAGGAGGAAUACCGGUGGCGAAGGCGACUUUCUGGCCAUACCCUGACGCUGAGGUACGAAAGCGUGGGUAGCAAGCAGG